GCUGCCAUACGAGCGCGUCUUGGUCCGGGCCAGGCUCUGGGACAGCUCGGCCUCCGACUCGUCCCCUCCUCCGGCCCCGGGAGGCAGCGGCUCAGACAUCCUCCCCUUCCCCGGAGUGAUCCAAUGGAAUUAAUGUUCACGUGGAAGUCGCAAAGCAUACAGCAAGAGCUCUGCAAAAGAAGCUACUACACUAUAUACGACUGACUGGAGAUGAGCGAAACCAAGUAAGGUUAGCCCCAAGGAGCUGAACACUAAAAGAUGGCAGGACAAGAUCACAAACAACAAAGUCCUUCAUUGUGCUGUGCUCAACAGAAUGGAAAUCAUUCCCAAGAAAAUUCAAUUUAGGCAUAACUCCCACAUGGAUGACUUUCAAAUCCCCAAACACAUCUUCAGUGGGGAACUGUCAAGGGGAGAACAUCAUCAAAAUGGUCUGUACAAAUGAUUAAAGACACUUCACAAACAAAAAA